GACGAACGCUGGCGGCGUGCCUAAUACAUGCAAGUCGAGCGGACCUCUUCGGAGGUCAGCGGCGGACGGGUGAGUAACACGUGGGCAACCUGCCUGUAAGACUGGGAUAACUCCGGGAAACCGGAGCUAAUACCGGAUACUAUGUCAAACCGCAUGGUUUGACAUUCAAAGACGGUUUCGGCUGUCACUCACAGCUGGGCCCGCGGCGCAUUAGCUAGUUGGUGAGGUAACGGCUCACCAAGGCGACGAUGCGUAGCCGACCUGAGAGGGUGAUCGGCCACACUGGGACUGAGACACGGCCCAGACUCCUACGGGAGGCAGCAGUAGGGAAUCUUCCGCAAUGGACGAAAGUCUGACGGAGCAACGCCGCGUGAGUGAUGAAGGUUUUCGGAUCGUAAAACUCUGUUGUCAGGGAAGAACAAGUGCCGGAGUAACUGCCGGCGCCUUGACGGUACCUGACCAGAAAGCCACGGCUAACUACGUGCCAGCCGCCGCCGUAA
rnacentral:rRNA from 1 species